GAAAUGUGGGAAGUACUUGACGGAGAGUGGGCAUCUAAAUUAGAUCAUGCUCGAGUGAUCUCUGGAGUGUCCUUGGAGGCCUGAAAUGAGGAGCAAUUGUUGUGUUGGAAGGACAAACAUCUCCGCCUCCAGGUUGUGCUCUAUGGGACUGCUAAGCACUAUGGAACUGCAAGAAUGCCUGUAUAAUUAUAUCCGCUGUCCAAUUAGCAGUGCUGCAGCGUGAUGCCUACCUGAUGCUCUAGGAAUGUUGGAGUCCAAUUGCAAGAAAUGAAGCGCUACGUGAUAACCGUGUUGGUUGGUGAGUUUCCGCAGCGCUGCUGAGCACGCAGGCUUCCCCGACCGUGCCUUGGUCACCGCACUCCGUUGUGUGGUCGUCGUGUCUCACAGCCCCAGGCACCUUGCUGCGGUGCUGCUGGUAAGCGCAAUGUGCACAGUGUACGGCCUCUGCAUUUAUGGGGCACAGAGCCUUCAUUCCUGUGUUGUGCUCCGCAGGCGGCAGCGGAGAACUGCGGGGCUCCUGGGUGGUGCCGGAACUGCACGGAGACCUGUGGCUCCUCAUGAAGUCAGCUUGAAGCAGAAACCUGGAUUUCCUGGAAUGCCUCGGAACCCUCCUUGUCUGUCUGGUAACUGGUUGCCCAUACAGGAAUAGACAAAUGCUGUCGUCAUGGUUGCAGCCCCACGCUCUCCUAAUGCCGACUGCGCUGGCGACUCGGAGUGCAGCUCUGAAGAUGCACUGAGACCCUGCAGAUCCAGACCCUACUUGGACACCGUAGCGCUGCUGCCCCCUCCGCUGUCUCUCCCGUUUCUCUGGCACCGUUUCCAAUCUAGGUUUGCCGUUGCAGGACUCGACGGCUGAAAGAAGGUAGGCCCUCAGACCGCCGCACGCUGGGACCAGCAGGGAGCGGCUCUGGGACGGGUGCAGUCGAGCUGCGCUCGGUGAGUUUUAGCAGCGCUGCUGAGCACGCAGGCUUCCCCGACCGUGCCCCGGUCACCUAACUCAUUUGUGUCGUCGUUGUCUCACAGCCCCAGGCACCUUGCUGUGGUGCUGCCGGGAAGUUUAAUGUGCAAAGGGCGUGGGCUCUGCAUCUAUGGGGUAGAGCCUUCCUUCUUGUAUUGUAAUCCGCAGGUGGCAGCGCAGAACUGCGGUGCUUCUGUUUGGUGCCGGAACUGCACGGAGAUCUGUGGCUCUCCAUGAAGUCAGCGUGAAACGGAAAGCUGGAUUUGCUGGGCUGCCCCGGGACUAAACUUGGCUGCCUGCUCACUGCUUGCCCAUGCAGGUAAGGGCGGUGCACACCUACCAGUGUUUCCCCGUGACAUGGUGUGGCACAACACAGUGCAUCCGGAGCACUUUGUCAUUUAGAUAUCAUUCCUUUCUCAUUACCUUUUUAUGUCUUCAUAUUUUAUAUUAAUUUUUUAAUUGGUUUUUAUUUCUCUGCCCUUUUUAUUUUGUGUUUGUUCAGUGUUGUAAAAUUAGUGGGGCGGGCAGGCAUAUUCAGGGGCGGGCGGGCAUAUUCAGGGGCUCUCGUUUAUUGACUAAUUUUACUUAAAUUACUUUAUUUUAGUUUAUUGUGUUCUGUUUUGUGUUAUAUAGUCUAUAGUGUAUGUCGUGUACAUGCAGUGUUUAUCGAGUGUAUAUCCUGUCUAUUGAG
rnacentral:lncRNA from 1 species